UACGGAGGAUGCAAGCGUUAUCCGGAAUGAUUGGGCGUAAAGCGCGCGCAGGCGGCGAUCUACGUCUGGGGUGAAAGCCCGGAGCUCAACUCCGGGACUGCCUUGGAUACGGGAUCGCUUGAGGAUUGGAGAGGCAAGGGGAAUUCCACGUGUAGCGGUGAAAUGCGUAGAGAUGUGGAGGAACACCUGUGGCGAAGGCGCCUUGCUGGCCAAUUACUGACGCUGAGGCGCGAAAGCGUGGGGAGCAAACAGG
rnacentral:rRNA from 1 species